rnacentral:rRNA from 1 species
GAUGAACGCUGGCGGCGUGCCUAAUACAUGCAAGUCGAGCGAACGGACGAGAAGCUUGCUUCUCUGAUGUUAGCGGCGGACGGGUGAGUAACACGUGGAUAACCUACCUAUAAGACUGGGAUAACUUCGGGAAACCGUAGCUAAUACCGGAUAAUAUUUUGAACCGCAUGGUUCAAAAGUGAAAGACGGUCUUUGUGUCACUUAUAGAUGGAUCCGCGCUGCAUUAUCUAGUUGGUAAGGUAACGGCUUACCAAGGCAACGAUGCAUAGCCGACGUGAGAGGGUGAUCGGCCACACUGGAACUGAGACACGGACCAGACUCCUACGGGAGGCAGCAGUAGGGAAUCUUCCGCAAUGGGCGAAAGCCUGACGGAGCAACGCCGCGUGAGUGAUGAAGGUCUUCGGAUCGUAAAACUCUGUUAUUAGGGAAGAACAUAUGUGUAAGUAACUGUGCACAUCUUGACGGUACCUAAUCAGAAAGCCACGGCUAACUACGUG